rnacentral:rRNA from 1 species
GGGGAAUAUUGCACAAUGGAGGAAACUCUGAUGCAGCGACGCCGCGUGAGUGAAGAAGGUCUUCGGAUCGUAAAACUCUGUCCUUGGUGAAGAUAAUGACGGUAGCCAAGGAGGAAGCCCCGGCUAACUACGUGCCAGCAGCCGCGGUAAUACGUAGGGGGCGAGCGUUGUCCGGAUUUACUGGGCGUAAAGGGUGAGUAGGCGGUAAUAUGUGUCAGAUGUAAAAGGCUAAGGCUUAACCAUAGUUAGCAUUUGAAACUGUAUUACUUGAGUGCAGGAGAGGUAAGUGGAAUUCCUAGUGUAGCGGUGAAAUGCGUAGAUAUUAGGAGGAACACCAGUGGCGAAGGCGACUUACUGGACUGUAACUGACGCUGAGUCACGAAAGCGUGGGUAGCAAAC